rnacentral:rRNA from 1 species
GAUGAACGCUGGCGGCGUGCCUAAUACAUGCAAGUCGAGCGAACAGACGAGGAGCUUGCUCCUCUGACGUUAGCGGCGGACGGGUGAGUAACACGUGGAUAACCUACCUAUAAGACUGGGAUAACUUCGGGAAACCGGAGCUAAUACCGGAUAAUAUAUUGAACCGCAGGGUUCAAUAGUGAAAGACGGUUUUGCUGUCACUUAUAGAUGGAUCCGCGCCGCAUUAGCUAGUUGGUAAGGUAACGGCUUACCAAGGCGGCGAUGCGUAGCCGACCUGAGAGGGUGAUCGGCCACACUGGAACUGAGACACGGUCCAGACUCCUACGGGAGGCAGCAGUAGGGAAUCUUCCGCAAUGGGCGAAAGCCUGACGGAGCAACGCCGCGUGAGUGAUGAAGGUCUUCGGAUCGUAAAACUCUGUUAUUAGGGAAGAACAAAUGUGUAAGUAACUAUGCACGUCUUGACGGUACCUAAUCAGAAAGCCACGGCUAACUACGUG